rnacentral:ncRNA from 1 species
CUAAAACCAUUGAGGGAAAAAGUAGCCCAUUCCCACGUAACCAGAGAUGGAAUGCCAGAUAGGCUGGAAGCAUUCCUUUAUGAUGGAUGGAUGAAAGACAUUUCUUAGGUUCUGCAUCGAAAUAAAGUAGGUGUAGACGUACCGCAGGCGUUAACUGUCUUUGAGUGGAAGCUGAAUGCUUCAAUCAGGGUGGCAACGCGGGUAAAUCCCCGUCCCUUUU